UGUGACUUACAUACUGGAUCUGAAACCAGA
rnacentral:piRNA from 1 species